GAUCAUGGCUCAGGAUGAACGCUGGCGGCGUGCUUAAUACAUGCAAGUCGAACGAAGCACCUUGGACAGAAUCCUUCGGGAGGAAGACCAUUGUGACUGAGUGGCGGACGGGUGAGUAACGCGCGGGUAACCUGCCUUGUACAGGGGGGAUAACAGUUGGAAACGACUGCUAAUACCGCAUAAGCGCACAGUACCGCAUGGUACGGUGUGAAAAACUCCGGUGGUACAAGAUGGACCCGCGU
rnacentral:rRNA from 1 species